UCGUCAGUAAGGUACAUCCUUACCUGCUACUCCUCCGGGAGUAUCAGAUCAUGAUGAAUGGAGAGAAAUGAGAUAUGAUUAGUAUCUCCCUCUAAUGGGAUUCGACACCCCAUCGGAGCCAUUCUGAC